GACGAACGCUGGCGGCGUGGAUUAGGCAUGCAAGUCGAACGGUAUCAUCCUUUCGGGGGUGAGAGAGUGGCGAACUGGUGAGUAACACGUAGGUUAUCUACCCUCAAGACGGGGACAACCCAGGGAAACUUGGGCUAAUACCGGAUGUGAGCAACUUUUAGUUGUUUGAAAGGUGGCGUAAGCUGUCGCUUGGGGAUGAGCCUGCGUCCUAUUAGUUAGUUGGUGAGGUAACGGCUCACCUAGGCAAUGAUAGGUAGGCGGCCUUAACGGGUGGUCGCCCACACUGGGAUUGAGAUACGGCCCAGACUCCUACGGGAGGCAGCAGUCGAGAAUAGUCUACAAUGGUCGGAAGACUGAUAGUGCGACGCCGCGUGAACGAUGAAUCCCUCGGGGUGUAAAGUUCUUUUAUAUGUGAGCAGUGCUUCUUAUAUUAACAGUAUGGGGAGAGAGAUAUUAGCAUAUGAAUAAGCAACGGCUAACUCCGUGCCAGCAGCCGCGGUAAA
rnacentral:rRNA from 1 species